GACCGCCUCGUAAUUGAUACAGAGGAGGAGCUCAUUCCCAUUGAUUCGGGGGAGGAAGAGGAGCCAGAUUAUAUAAUUAUUGACAGUGAGGAUGAGGAUGAAAAACACUCUCCCCAACUUGGCCCUACACUGUCACAGGCGGUGGCGGAGGAGGAGGACCAGGACUCUAUCUCUAUGUCCAUCACCUCACUGCACCCAUUAAG